rnacentral:lncRNA from 1 species
GUCUUGUACUGACUGCCCUGCGUGUGAGCAGGAUCGGGCCUCCGAAACACACAGUCUUGUUCUUGCAGCUUUGUCAUUUUUUUAAAGUCCUUUCCCUCUCUUGUCCCCACACCACCUCCCAGGUCCUCUCCCUCUCUAGAAGAAAUGGUCCCAGGUGCGAGGCAGACCACUGCCGAAGCUCCAGAGAAGACUCAAUGGCUUCUAGUAUCUGGCAUUUUGGUCACUGGCAUUUGGCAAAAUGGCCGUUGAUUUAGCCACAGAAGAGGAAUUUGCUGAUGCUCAACCAGGAUUUUCAGAUGUAAAACAAACGUUCGAUGUGAUCUGCAACACUGAUCUGUUAUAAUUAAACAACCUCCUACUGUCUAAACUGGCAACGCACUCCAUCGAUCAGUGGUAAAUGUGGUCCUUGGAGACUGCUUUUAUGUUUGUUUCACUUAUGGGAAAAUGGCCACAACCCUUUUGUAAGAUCCCUCGGCUGCUGCUCUCCCCCAGGUUACAAUCACAGUAACUGCUGCUUCUGGGAUGCCUUGCUGUACUUCUC